GUUAACGUAGCAUAAUCCGGCAUUGCAAAAGACCUAAACCCUUUCUAUAGAGAUUCAAAUCCUCUCGUUAACU
rnacentral:tRNA from 1 species